rnacentral:rRNA from 1 species
GCGUGAGUGAAGAAGGCCUUGGGGUUGUAAAGCUCUUUCGGUUGGAAAGAAGGGCUGCAUGGCUAAUAUCCAUGUAGUUUGACGGUACCAAAAGAAGAAGCACCUGCUAACUUCGUGCCAGCAGCAGCGGUAAUACGAAGGGUGCAAGCGUUGUUCGGAAUUACUGGGCGUAAAGGGCGCGUAGGCGGGUUUGUAAGUCGAAUGUGAAAUCCCCGGGCUUAACCUGGGACGUGCAUUCGAUACUGCUAAUCUUGAAUGCUUGAGAGGGUGGUGGAAUUCCUAGUGUAGAAGUGAAAUUCGUAGAUAUUAGGAGGAACACCUGAGGCGAAGGCGGCCACCUGGCAAGACAUUGACGCUAAGGCGCGAAAGUGCGGGGAGCAAACAGGAUUAGAUACCCUGGUAGUCCGCACCAUAAACGAUGGAUACUAGAUGUUUGGAGAAUUAACCCUCUGAGUAUCAAAGUUCACACAUUAAGUAUCCCGCCUGGGGAGUACGGCCGCAAGGCUGAAACUCAAAGGAAUUGACGGGGGCCCGCACAAGCGGUGGAGUAUGUGGUUUAAUUCGAAGCAACGCGCAGAACCUUACCUGAGUUUGACAUCCUACGAAUACUGCAGAGAUG